UGGGGAAUUUUGGACAAUGGGGGAAACCCUGAUCCAGCCAUCCCGCGUGUGCGAUGAAGGCCUUCGGGUUGUAAAGCACUUUUGGCAGGAAAGAAACGUCAUGGGUUAAUACCCCGUGAAACUGACGGUACCUGCAGAAUAAGCACCGGCUAACUACGUGCCAGCAGCCGCGGUAAUACGUAGGGUGCAAGCGUUAAUCGGAAUUACUGGGCGUAAAGCGUGCGCAGGCGGUUCGGAAAGAAAGAUGUGAAAUCCCAGAGCUCAACUUUGGAACUGCAUUUUUAACUACCGGGCUAGGGUGUGUCAGAGGGAGGUGGAAUUCCGCGUGUAGCAGUGAGAUGCGUAGAUAUGCGGAGGAACACCGAUGGCGAAGGCAGCCUCCUGGGAUAACACUGACGCUCAUGCACGAAAGCGUGGGGAGCAAACAGG
rnacentral:rRNA from 1 species